GAGAGUUUGAUCCUGGCUCAGGACGAACGCUGGCGGCGUGCUUAACACAUGCAAGUCGAACGAGAAGAGAUGAGAAGCUUGCUUCUUAUUAAUUCGAGUGGCAAACGGGUGAGUAACGCGUAAGCAACCUGCCCUUCAGAUGGGGACAACAGCUGGAAACGGCUGCUAAUACCGAAUACGUUCUUUUUGUCGCAUGGCAGAGGGAAGAAAGGGAGGCUCUUCGGAGCUUUCGCUGAAGGAGGGGCUUGCGUCUGAUUAGCUAGUUGGAGGGGUAACGGCCCACCAAGGCGACGAUCAGUAGCCGGUCUGAGAGGAUGAACGGCCACAUUGGGACUGAGACACGGCCCAGACUCCUACGGGAGGCAGCAGUGGGGAAUCUUCCGCAAUGGACGAAAGUCUGACGGAGCAACGCCGCGUGAACGAUGACGGCCUUCGGGUUGUAAAGUUCUGUUAUACGGGACGAAUGGUACGACGGUCAAUACCCGUCGUAAGUGACGGUACCGUAAGAGAAAGCCACGGCUAACU
rnacentral:rRNA from 1 species